CCAAAGGCUCUUGUUAGAGCCACGCACAAUUCCACUUAGUUUCUUU
rfam:Schistosoma mattheei strain Denwood, Zambia genome assembly, scaffold: SMTD_scaffold0000344